UAAUUUUUUAAAUAGAACCAGAAAUCGUGC
rnacentral:piRNA from 1 species